CCUCGCUCUCGCGUCCGCGGCGUCCCCUGCCGGCCGGGCGGCGAUUUGCAGGUCCAGCCGGCGCCGGUUUUGCGCGGCGGCUCAACGUUCGCGGAGCCCCAUGAGUAGCCACCCGCUGCCCAGAUCGGCGGCCGCUGCCGCGGGGAGAAGCAGUAGCGUGCAGGGCGGGCACGCUGGUCUUCCUUCUAGUUGGGCUUCGAUUUUAUAGGUUCAGAAAGUGUGUCUCAGAGGAGUUAGAGAAGACCAAUUAAUAGAUGACAGUGCUGAAGCCUGGAUCUCCUGAAUCCUGGAAUCUUGCUUUGUUGCUCAGGAUGGAGUGCCAUGGCGCAAUCUCGGCUCACUGCAACCUCUGCCUCCUGGGUUCAAGUGAUUCUCUUGCCUCAGCCUCCCGAGUAGCUGGGAUUACAGACGAAAGUGUCCUGUUAGAUUCCUGGGAAGAAAAUUCUGAGACACAUUCUGCAGGAUGCUUAUUAGGGCUCAUCGUUGAUUUCAACACCCAUAGAAGGAAGGGGGAAGAAGAAAUCGAACAGAGAGACAGAAGUCGAGAUGCAUUUCAGGCCAGGACUCUUGGCUGAACCCACAGGAGCUCUGGAGCUAGAAUGGCCCUUCAGAGUUGUCCUGAGUUGGUCUGAGAUGGCCAGUUCUUUAUAUUUCUGCAUGGGAUAGUCACUGGAUGUCCACCCCAGGAAGGGGUGUGGCCAAGACAGUCCCUGAAAUGCCUGCCAGCACUCCCUACACCUGGAGCGAGAAGACCAACAUCACAGGGGGAAUGCACUGGGUGAUAGAUCGCAGCGUACAUCCCAGAAGAUGAGGAUACAGAAUUGGCUGACAGCUAUGUUCUAAAUGUCAAUGUUCUCCAAAAUUCAUAUGUUGAAACUUAAUUUCCCAAUGUGAUGGCAUUAGGAAGUGGGGCCUUUGGGGGAGGGACCAUAGGUCAUGAGGGUGUAACCCUCAUCAAUGGGAUUAGUGUCCAGAGAGCUGCCUUGCCCUUCCACCAUGUGAGGACAUAGUGAGAAGGUGCCAUCUAUGAACUAGGAAGUGGGCGCUUACCACCAGACACUCACUCUUCUGGCAACUUGAUCUUGAAUUUCCCAGCCUCCAGAACUCUGAGAAAUCAAUUUCUGUUAAUUAUAAGCUACCCAGUCUAUAGCAUUUUGUUAAAGCAGCUGGAACCAAACUAAGACACUGACGCUUUCUGCAACAAAAUAGAGUGAGUCUCUAUAGCAUACCAUGUAACAGAUGUUUUUGGAAAAAUAACCUCAUUUCAUAUGUUUCCUCAAGAUAAAAAGAAUAUCAUAAUAACAAAUGAGAAAAUAGUUGCUUUAGAAAUAUUGCACCCUAUGGAGAGAGUAUUUUGGAUUUUGGUUUUUUGUUUUUGUUUUUUAACUUUUGUUUUAGGUUUGGGGGUACAUAUGUGGUUUGUUAUAUAGGUAAACUCAUGUCACAGGGGUUUGUUGUACAGAUAAUUUCAUCACCCAGGUACUAAGCCUGGUACCCAAUAGUUGCUUUUUCUCCUCCUCUCUCUCCUCCCACCCUCCACCCUCAAAUAGGCCCCAGUGUGUUUUGUUCCCUUCAUUAUGUUCAUGAAGUUGAGAGGGUGUUUUGAAAAAGAGUGUUGGAAAGCAUUUCCACUGUUAGAUGAUUUUAAGUCAGAAAGUUAUACAACAGUGUCACCUACCUGCACAGAAGCAUGGACACAGAAUUGUUUCA